UCGUAAGAUGUGUAUUAACUGACCAAGUUCGAAAAUCUGUUUAGAAUCCUCCUAUGAAAAGGAUUAAGUCUGUAAGCAGAUAAUCUAUUUUAUGUUCAAACAAAUCAAUCACAGUUCUUAAUAAAUAUGGAAGGAGAAUGAAUGAUAGAAACUAAAAUUGAAACGACCAGCUCACUUAAUGUGUAAAGAGCACCUCGGACAGAAUUGAUUUUCAUACUUGGCAUCGCCUUACUUGCCCGAACUGUCUAUCGGCCAAGGCUGUCUCUCAAGCUUUCUUCAUUUGAUCCUAUCUGAUGCAAUAGAUCUCCGUCGAUUACUCCUAUAUGCUUCAUAUAUUUUUCAACACUAUCCAGACAUGUUUACUCUCCGAGGUUUUUCUUGUAUUCU